UAGUCCACGCUGUAAACGAUGUCUACUUGGAGGUUGUUGUCUUGAAUGAUGGCUUUCGGAGCUAACGCGUUAAGUAGACCGCCUGGGGAGUACGGCCGCAAGGUUAAAACUCAAAUGAAUUGACGGGGGCCCGCACAAGCGGUGGAGCAUGUGGUUUAAUUCGAUGCAACGCGAAGAACCUUACCAGGGUUAGACAUGUUUGUGAUUUUCUUCGAAAAAAGAACAUCUCUUUUAGAGCACAUACAACGGUGGUGCAUGGCUGUCGUCAGCUCGUGUCGUGAGAUGUUGGGUUAAGUCCCGCAACGAGCGCAACCCUUGUCUUUAGUUGCCAUCAUUAAGUUGGGCACUUUAAAGAGACUGCCGGUGACAAACCGGAGGAAGGUAAGGAUGACGUCAAGUCAGCAUGCCCCUUAUGCUCUGGGCUACACACGUGCUACAAUGGCCGUGACAAAGAGUUGCUACUUUGUGAAAACAAGCUAAUCUCAUAAACGCGGCCUCAGUUCGGAUUGCAGG
rnacentral:rRNA from 1 species